UGAUGUUCACACCUGCCAGAGCUGCAGAUCCAGCUGUGCAUUACCAAAGCAGCAGGAGCCUUUCUGCUCCACUCCCACUCUGUCCUGCCCAGCAGUGCCCUGGGAUAAGAGCAGGAGCAGGCUGCUGGGAGGCAGAGCUGCAGCAGAACACGAGAGAGGAAGGCAAAGCACCCAGAGGGAAACAGCCUGAGCAAGGGCAAAGACCAAGGCUUCAGAGGAGCAACAGCAGGUUCCUGGAUGGCAGAGAGCAGCCUCAGCACUGCGUGAGGAGCCCGGUGUGAAGCAACCUGAGCCUCUCCAGAGCAGCUCAGUCCUGCUGAGGCCCUGUCCCAUGGUGCAGGGAGUGACCCCACAGAGGGGAUGGACGCUGUCUGGUGCAAAGGGACUGAGCAAACGGACUUCAAGGAGCUUAGUGGAUAAAUCCAAGAACAUACUGCCAAACAGAUGAGCAAAGUGCAGGUGAGGAUUUAUCUUCAGCAGAGUUCAAGUUUAGAGACACAUCACAAGACAGAUCCCAGAUCUGUGUUAGGUACCGACACAAGAACUUAGGAACUCGGAGCAGGUAAUCCAGAGCUGAGGGAGAGGGGGUUUGAAUAGGAUGGUCACCAAAAAAAAAAAUCCACAUUCCAGCAUGGAAAGCAUCUGUGGGAUAAGAGAUCUCUGGGGCAGGAGGAGGCAGACUGCUAACAGGAAGAGCAGAUUGCAAUGUCCCCAGCCGGUGCUGCAGGCUGAGCUCUCCUCUCCUAACUGCAGCUGUGGACCAGGGUGAUGUGAAAAACAGCAGACUGACUGGCUCACAAAGCAGUGAAUGGAAUCACAUCCAAGCUGUCUGUGUCCUGCUGGCCACCUCCCUGUGCCAGCAGUGGGAGCAAAGCUGUCCUGGUGAACAUUGCUGCUGCCCAGGCAGGGAAGGGGUGCACUGGGAGCUCUGGGUCCUCUGCUCCACUUCCCAGGCACAAAGGGGCUGCCCUUUGGGACACCAUCCCAGGAAGUCAUACCAGAAGUGGCCUUCAGUCCUGGUGCCAUUCCCACAAGGGGGUUUUCCCCCCACCCUUACCCCCUGUCUGCCACCUCUCAC